AAAAAUAUGGAACGCUUCACGAAUUUGCGUGUCAUCUUUGUGCAGGGACCAUGUUAAUCUUCUCUGUAUCGUUCCAAUUUUAGUAUAUGUGCUGCACAGAAAUGAUCUC
rnacentral:snRNA from 1 species